rnacentral:sRNA from 1 species
UGUAAUAAUCACCGAUUACAAACCAAGUGUUUAUCCUUCUAACUAUUGGGUUAAACCAAAUGUGGAGUUCAAUUAUCUAAAAAUAGCAUAAUCAUAGGAAAACGGAUAGCAAGGAUAAGAAUCAAAGAAAACAAUUCUCGAUGCGUUUUCUCUCUCGGGUACCAUUUUCGAGGACAACUUCCCAAUCAAACUUUCCGACGUCGGUGGAGCUCUUACUCACCGGCGUCAGAAGAUCCCAAAUUGCUUCAAUCUCUAUUAUCUUUGCAUCACUUUUGUAACCCUUUUAAGCUUUUCUCUCCAUCUUCCCGACCACCACAACAACCUUCCAUUAAAUCCAUCUUCAAUUCUCGGAGAUCACUUAACCAUACCCUUCAACGUUGCUUCACUCCGUCGAUCUACUUCAGUGGCAACUGUCGACGAUUAUUACCCCGCCCUAGUGCUAACGAGAUCUCUCACUUCCAAAUCUGCAGUUCCUCAACCCAAAUGGUACCGUCACUCGUCGAUCUUGAGUCUCUGGACCACUUUUGUGCCACAACUUCCGGUGAAGUUUCAUUCCACUCUGAUCUUCAACUCACCGAAGUCCUGCCGCCACAGUCACCAACUCUUCAUCGCAGCCACAGAGACACUAGGGUUCCUGUUAUUGGGCCUCCCCCAUUUCAGCCCAUUUCUCUCUUGGCCCAUUGUCAUAAGUGACGACCCACCUCCUUUAUCUAUUAGGCCUAGGUUUUGGCUAAACUUUCCCCUGUUCUUUCUCUGUCAACGUUUGUGUCGAUUGCUGAAAAUAAUUGUUAGAUGUCAAUUAAUCCAUAAUCAAUCAUCGUUGCUCUGCUGGUACAAACCUUCUUUGAGAACCUGGUUAUUAGAGUCACCUAGGGAUUCUACUCUUGUUUCUAGAUCCUUUUAUCGAAGCCAUUUACAAAGGUUGAGAAAGUGCGGCAUUAUGAUCCCGUCACCAAGGUGCGGUGAUUACCGCAGCUUUCUCACCUUCCAAUCUCCGUCUCCUUUGUUCACUGAGUUCUCUCUUAUGAAAUCUAUCAAUUUCAGUGAUAAAUUCCUUAUGCUCAUGAAAACCUUGAAGCUUAGGUCUUGUAAUUUUCUACUUGUGUUAAACCAAAGACUAACUUUGUGUGACAUUCUUAAUCUCCAUAGUCAAAGACAUUAUGCGAGAGAGAAUCCACCUGUUUUGUUGCAGUUUCACACAUAUCUCUUGCGAAUCCUGGUUAUUGUUUCAGCGAUUUUUUUGAGUUUGACUACAGACCCUUACUCCUUCUCAACGUCAUUAUGUCUUGUGACAAUGACCAAUUUUCCACUUCUCGGAUCGACCGAAGUUGUGUCUCCGAUUUACCUUCUUCUCGUAUGUGGCAUUGUGUUCUACAACUUUUGUCUCCGAGUUAGCAUGGUUUUAUCAUCGGACUAUUGUAUUUUUAUCUUUAUUGCUUUUAUUUUUGUUGUACUAAAGUCUGAGAAUGAUAUUUUCUUAAGCUUUGUACUAAGUUUGAGUGAUUGAACGAAAACAAAGUUUAUUGACAAAAAAAGAAAAGGAAAACGGAUAGCUUUCUUGGCUGA